rnacentral:rRNA from 1 species
GACGAACGCUGGCGGCGUGCUUAACACAUGCAAGUCGAACGGAAAGGCCCUGCUUUUGUGGGGUGCUCGAGUGGCGAACGGGUGAGUAACACGUGAGUAACCUGCCCUUGACUUUGGGAUAACUUCAGGAAACUGGGGCUAAUACCGGAUAGGAGCUCCUGAUGCAUGGUGGGGGUUGGAAAGUUUCGGCGGUUGGGGAUGGACGCGCGGCUUAUCAGCUGGUUGGUGGGGUAGUGGCUUACCAAGGCUUUGACGGGUAGCCGGCCUGAGAGGGGGACCGGCCACAAUGGGACUGAGAUACGGCCCAGACUCCUACGGGAGGCAGCAGGGGGGAAUAUUGCACAAUGGGCGGAAGCCUGAGGCAGCAACGCCGCGUGCGGGAUGACGGCCUUCGGGUUGUAAACCGCUUUCGCCUGUGACGAAGCGUGAGUGACGGUAAUGGGUAAAGAAGCACCGGCUAACUACGUG